CGGGUAUUAACCAUUAAACAUUUCUUCCCUAUUGACAGAGCUUUACGACCCAAGGGCCUUCACCACUCACGCGGCGUCGCUGCAUCAGGGUUGCCCCCAUUGUGCAAAAUUCCUC
rnacentral:rRNA from 1 species